ACAUGCCUACAACAUAGCGUUAAUGUGUUGGGUCCCAUUAGAACUCUGCAGUUAAGUGCGCUUACGCUAGAGUAGUACUGGGAUGGGUGACCUCCUGGGAAGUCCUGGUGUUUUACAUGCC
rnacentral:rRNA from 1 species